GCUCUAGGCGAAGACCGCGGCCCCGUCCCCGCGCCUCCACCGCCUUCUUCCAGGAGGAGGGGCCGUGCGGCGCCUGCCCGGGGGCCCUCAGGCCGCAGGCGGGCGCGAGCUUCAGGGAACUUAGGGGGCUCCCGCCUCCCCGGCCACGCGAGCGGGAACAGUCUCCUCCACUCGGAGCGGCGCCAUCUUCAGCUCUGAGUCACCAGGGCUGGAAAAAUACUAGAUGCGCUACUCGUGGACUCGUGAAUACACUCGUGAAUACAGGCCAUUUCCUGUACCUACAGCCACCCGCUCAUCUACCACAGUGUCUAUGAAAUAGUUGGCAUUUCAUGAACAUUUGUUGAAUGAAUAAUGGAUAACAUAUAUUGAGCUCCUUCUAGGAGCCACUCAUCAUGCCUUACCUGGAUGAUGCAGAAGUCCCUGGAAACAGAAGGUCUCACCCUUCUUUAUCUUUCUCAUGGCUUUCCAAGGCUCUUUAUCAUGUUACUUUCCUGCUCAGAAUUCUUUAAUGACUUGCCUCAAUGACCAGAUACAUGUGAUCUACAGUCAGCCUUCCAGCCUCAUCAUUCCUCUUCCAUUUCCUCCCCAGAAACACUGUACUUUAUGAAGCUCCUCCAAGACGAACCUGUUGGAGAAUGUACUCCUUGGAAAUAAGGAAGAAAGAGGAUCCAGGGAACAGGAGUUUCACCACAGAGGAGCAGGAAAGGGAAUUCCCAGUAUGAUGAAACUUAAAAUAUUUAUUUGAUCAAAUUGAUUAACGUAAGGAUAAUUUUAACUCUCAGAUCCUGUGACCCUAUUAAGUUAGAUACUAUAACUUAC
rnacentral:lncRNA from 1 species